UCCCACCGAUCUCACUUAUCUGACUAAUUUGGUAAAUUAUAUCUUGAUUAGACUGUUAAGUGAUUCGAGUUGAUCCAUGCCAUUAAGGUUGAUCAGUGUGACUAAUCUAGGUGCCAGUUCAACCAGCAUGACCUUUGGAAGGAUUGUGGUUUACUGGUUGAUCUCUUCUCUUUUCUUAAUUUAUAAAUUAAAUCUUCUAAAUUAUUAAGUCCCAAAAUAAACUAGUUAUGGGGAUAAUGAAUCUAUUCCUAUGACAAUCAUUGGAGGCCCA
rnacentral:lncRNA from 1 species